UUAUUUACUCUUCAUCAGUCGAAAGAAUCUUUUGAUUUUUCCUAAAGAUUAACGUGGUGUAGAAUGCGAAAGAAUACUCUUAAUUUUUGGAAUAUGGCCUUUAUAGGCUUUU
rnacentral:snRNA from 1 species